rnacentral:rRNA from 1 species
AACGAACGCUGGCGGCAUGCCUAACACAUGCAAGUCGAACGAGACCUUCGGGUCUAGUGGCGCACGGGUGCGUCACGCGUGGGAACCUGCCCUUAGGUUCGGAAUAACUCCCCGAAGGGGGUGCUAAUACCGGAUAAUGUCUUCGGACCAAAGAUUUAUCGCCUUUGGAUGGGCCCGCGUUGGAUUAGCUAGUUGGUAGGGUAAAAGCCUACCAAGGCGACGAUCCAUAGCUGGUCUGAGAGGAUGAUCAGCCACACUGGGACUGAGACACGGCCCAGACUCCUACGGGAGGCAGCAGUGGGGAAUAUUGGACAAUGGGCGAAAGCCUGAUCCAGCAAUGCCGCGUGAGUGAUGAAGGCCUUAGGGUUGUAAAGCUCUUUUACCCGGGAUGAUAAUGACAGUACCGGGAGAAUAAGCUCCGGCUAACUCCGUG